GGGGGAGAUCUCUAAGGGAGAGCUCUAUAGGACAGGGGGCAGGACAGGGAGCUCUUUCACACCACGCGCACACACACACACACACAAUGCAUCCCUAUACACACAGAAACACAACAUGCUUCCCUUACACACAGAUAAACACACAAUGCAACCCUUAGACAAAGACAAUGCAUCCUUUGCACACAUACACAGAAACACACAAUGCAUCCCUUACACACAUAUGCAAACACACACUGCUUCUCUUACACACACACACAGAAACACAAUGCAUCUCUUACACACACUCAACGCACCCCUUACAGACAAACACACAAUACAUCCCGUAUACACAAACACUCACU